GACGAAGGGGGCUAGCGUUGUUCGGAAUUACUGGGCGUAAGGCGCGUGUAGGCGGUUGCCCAAGUCGGGGGUGAAAGCCUUGAGCUCAACUCAAGAAAUGCACUCGGUACUGGGUGACUAGAGGACCGGAGAGGAUAGUGGAAUUCCCAGUGUAGUGGUGAAAUACGUAGAGAUUGGGAAGAACACCAGUGGCGAAGGCGGCUAUCUGGACGGUUUCUGACGCUAAGACGCGAAAGCGUGGGGAGCAAACAGG
rnacentral:rRNA from 1 species